rnacentral:rRNA from 1 species
GACGAACGCUGGCGGCGUGCUUAACACAUGCAAGUCGAGCGGUAAGGCCCUUUCGGGGGUACACGAGCGGCGAACGGGUGAGUAACACGUGGGUGACCUGCCCUCAGCUCUGGGAUAAGCCUGGGAAACCGGGUCUAAUACCGGAUAUGACUCCAUGACGCAUGUUGUGGGGUGGAAAGCCUUGUGCGGCUGAGGAUGGGCCCGCGGCCUAUCAGCUUGUUGGUGGGGUGAUGGCCUACCAAGGCGACGACGGGUAGCCGGCCUGAGAGGGCGACCGGCCACACUGGGACUGAGACACGGCCCAGACUCCUACGGGGGCAGCAGUGGGGAAUCUUGCGCAAUGGGCGAAAGCCUGACGCAGCGACGCCGCGUGAGGGAUGACGGCCUGG